GGUAGCAUGGCUGAGUGGUCUAAGAUUCUGAAUUAAGUCUCCAGUCUCUUUGGGGGCGUGGUUUUCAAUCCCACCGCUGCUA
rnacentral:tRNA from 1 species